CUUAAGUUUACGCCUUUGGAGAGACGACUAGAUAUGGUCCCUCGAUGUUUGGGAAUGACCGAAGAUAAAGACGUUUUAAGUACUGAUUUCUAAACACAAGAAAGAGAGAAUCAUUGUUACAGUUGCCUAUAAGGAAAUUUCAUGCAUUUUUCAUGAUGGAAAUGAAUAGUAGCUGUAAUAGAGACUAUCAAAUGCAGAUGUGAAGAUACAAUGCAGAAUGCAUCUCUACUUCCGAACCAAAGAUGGACUACCAAUGAAACUCUUAAACAUACCUUGACAAUUGGAAGCUUGGACUCUCUGUCAUUUUCCUCAAUGUUACGAUACAGUGAAACAGAAUGAUGGAUUUACGACUGCUUAUGAAGGACUAUACUAUUGUAAUAAUAUAUGAGAAACCAAUCUGGGGAAGGGAAUUUUGGGAGGGGGUAAGGGAAAUCCCAGAGCCUAUAGAAUUGUAUCAUAAAAU